CUCCUUUCCAGGUGGCUUCACUAGUUUGUUCAAGGAGAUACCGAUUGAGGAAAUAACAGGAAGAACUCAUUCAUUCCUUAUCCCUUCACCUGGCUAUGGAAGGUCUUCAUGGCUAAAGCAUACUUCUUUGCCGAGGACACAGUCUUCUGAAAGAGUGCACACCUUGGUUUUAAUCUGGGAGACUCUAGAACUUCAUUUCAGACCAUAGUGCUUUCUACCAUACAGAAUCCUGAAAGCAACUCAACCUGCCAGGAAAACAGUUUCAAAGUCCUGAUGGAACGAAUCCUCGUGCUUCAGAAAAAGAAUUCACCUGAACCAGAUGCUCUCAAACUGAGCUUCACAGUCUAGCUUGUACUCCAUUUCUACCGUGAACGCAUUCCUCUGUGCUCCUGUGAGAGAUUGGCUAUCACUUCUCACUACUCUAGCAGCUGAAUCUAUGCAACUCUUCUGAAGUUCACUUAACUGUGCCACCCAGGAAAGACUGAGAAAUGCAUCAACAAAAAGAACACAAG